AUAAAGUGCAGUGUAGGCCAACACCCUCGCCGGGACCCCGGGAGGUGGCGGCCCCCGCGGGGUCCUGUGAGUUACGCCGCGUGCGGGCCCGAUCGCAUGGCGACUGGUGCGCAUUCAUGUUCCUGGAGGGAGAUGAAUCUUCGUCGCCUGUUCCCAAGCCAAAGCUGACAAGCAACCCUACCGUAUGAUCUGCCUCAUAAAUGGCCACCACCGGCACUAUAGGCCUAUGUGGCUACUGGCAAAUUAUAUGUGAGCGUGGAGGGAGCAGAGUGUGUGUGUGUGUGUGUGUGUGUGUGUGAGUCAUGAGUGUCACAACCUGACUGUUCAUUUGAGUUUGAAGACUAAAGGGAAAAUCAACAGAAUUGGUUUUAAAUCUUGUAUUCACUAUAAAACACAAAUCAAGUAUGAGGGCCAAGUCAGUUUUCACUUUUUGGUUUGUUUUCUCUAUAACAGGCCCUGGCAAAGCUGCAGUUAUAAAUUGAUAUGGUGCUACUCCAGUAGCCUUUGUACCUAUUUACUGAACAACAUGUCAGACAAGGUUCAUUUCUCUUUAUCAAGUCUUAAAGUGAAUAAAUCAUUUCACGCUG